AUGGAUUCUAAAGACGGACAUGAAGUGGGUAACAAGGGCGUCGAGAGUAGAGGAAAUGAGAGUGAGACGAGCGCCGCAGGAAAGAUGCUUCGCGGCCCAUCCAGAGAGGCGUUGCAACUACCGCUCCACCCGGCCUGUACCAUAGGGCCCACUUAUCAGCAAUGCGUGGAGUUCCCGAACAACCGCCAGGUCGCCGCCUACCUCAAUGCCUACGCGCGCCGCUUCGGGGUGCUCGAAUGCAUCCGAUUCGGGCACCGCGUUGCCGGGAUGGAGUACGUCGGUGUCGCCGAGGAGGAGGUGGCGGCGUGGGACGAGUGGGCUGGCUGCGCUGACGCAUUUGGCUCUGGCAACGGCAAGUGGCGCCUCACGGUGGCCGACGCCCAGGGUCAGGUGCAGGUACACACGGCAGACUUUGUGAUUCUUUGUAUUGGAAGGUUCAGCAAUGUUCCCAACAUACCUAAAUUGCCUCCUGGAAAAGGCCCGGAAGCAUUUGAUGGAAAAGUGAUCCACUCCAUGGACUAUUCCAAAAUGGGUAGUCAGAAAGCUAAGGAGAUGGUCAAGGGCAAGC
rnacentral:rRNA from 1 species